rnacentral:snoRNA from 1 species
GUUGAGGUCUAUCUUGAUGGGGCUUUUUCUAUAAACCUACAUUGUGGAAACGCCUCAUGGAGUAAAUAUGUGUUAGAUCUGUGGGGAGGAACUACAAGACAGAG